AUAGUAUGAGGGCUGAACUGAAACUACUCAGUGAUCCCAGAGCAUUCUUUUGAAAUCUGUGGCAUACCCAGCUCUUUCAUAUUUGGCAACACAGUGGACCAACUAUUCUCCCAGAGGGACCAUAUUGAGACGUUUCCUCCACAAGGUCCCACUGAUUCCUGGGUUGUUGCAUCAGAAUUCAGAUUUGCUGCUCAAAUAUGAAGAGGUCAAGUGAAAGCAGCCCGAGGCACCUUUACAAGAGAUUUGGGCAGGUACAGUUCAGGCACAGUACUGCAGAUCACGAGGCCCUGCCUGGGACCAUGAGGGCGCAGAGAAGCCUGUGGUUGGCACACGUUGGACUGGGCAGCAGGGUUUUAGGAUGGCAGCUGGAGUUUUGGUGUGGUGGUGUAAAUUAUGUCAGGUUUUAUUUCUGGUUUUCUAACAACGCAAUUCGCCUUCAGUUCAAAUCUGUAUGGAUCAGCCAAUACAGUAGUAAAUAAAUUUGUGACCAGUUACUCUCAUACAAUUGCCAUUUGAAGUUUUUUCCUUUGCAAUCCUGUGUCACUGCAUAUAUGAUUCCUUUGGUUUGCAAUCAUGUACGCUUCCCGUAGAUACCCAGGCUAUUCAGGGCCAAGUUCCUAGCUUAUGAAGACAACAGAAAGUGGCUUACUUGCUUAUUCUUUUUUGUUUGUUUUAUUUUGAAUAAUCCAACGCUAAUUGGUUUUCAAGAACUGAGUAGCUGGAUCUUCUUCCUUUGCCUUUGCUCAUGACACUAUUCAGCUAAGAAUAGCUAACUUGUGCCUGCUCCUCAGGAUACUUUUAUCCCAACCAUGUGUUUGGGAACUAGACGAUACAGCCGUGUCUGCAUGCCACAUCUGCCUCACAUAACAAACUCUGCCAAUUCCAGCUUGGGUCUCUACAUUAUGCUGCCAGUCUUCCCCCAGUAACAUGGAGACAGGAGAACUUUAUUUGACCUGAUAAUCAGUUGUUAUUGUCAGAACUACGCGAUCAAAGAGAAAUUGGCAGGACAUUGGUUUGGCACCACCCUUAAAAUUUGUCAGCAUCAUUUUAUUGCAAAAUUAAAGAUAAAUAUUAAUGUCCAAAACCUCUGAUUUCAGUAUUCACCACUUUCAAGUAUCUGAACUGAGACAGGCAAUGAAAACACAGCAGUGGUUCUGUAGAAUAACUGAAUUAUAAAAAUAUACCAUGAAGACAGGAAAAUAUGCUGGAUUUUCCUUCUAUUUUUUUUCCUGUAGUAAAUGCACAUGUAAUUGAUAGAUCUUGGAUUCUUGUUACCUGUGUAACAAAACACAAUCAUUUUUAG
ensembl:lncRNA